GGGGGGGACAUUUUAAAUGAUUUGUCAAAUAGACGUAUCAUAGGUUUACAUCAGCAAGAAUUAAUUUCCCUGUCACCGUCCUUCCCAUAAUCCUUUCUGCCCUGUCUUGUCAUCGUUGAUGUGGGGGUCAUCCCCCAUUUGGGAAGUUCUUUGUGGGAAGGCACCCUACAGUCUUCAGUUCAAAAUCCCCCAUGGUACCUGGCCUGUAGCAGACAAAACAGAUGUGUUGGACAAGGGCUGAAAUUUCAGAAAACAACUUUUGCACCAUGAUAAGUUCCCCUUUCUUUAUGGUUCUUCGCUCCAUCUCUUAGGAUGAUGAGGACAAUUCUGCAGUAUCAUUUUUGAACACGGGAUUUUGACUUGGCGAGUCAAGGAAUCCUGCCUUCAUUUAUGCAUCCCCAGGGAAGGACACAAUUGGUGUACCCUAGGCUCACCAGACCUCUUCAUCUUUAAAAUGAAAAGUUAUGAAGUUAUGAAGUAUAGACUUCAAUUAAUAAAUUCAGAGAGGAUAAAGGAGGAAAAGUGGGAAUCUGAGGGGGUUUAGUUUUAAUUUUUUCUCUUUUGGUAACUACUACAUGCAGAGUGGAUCAUUUAUUUUUGAUUAUUUCUAAAAGAUUAAUCUAUUUCUUUAAAGUUAAUAUGCAAAGAAAUAUAUUCAACACCACAGCUCACGGCAAUGCCAGAUCCUUAACCCACUGAGCGAGGCCAGGGGUCGAACCCACAACCUUGUGGUUCCUGAUCGGAUUCAUUUCAGCUGUGCCACGAAGGGAACUCCUAGAUACAGUUUUAAACUCAAGAAAGGGGAAGUGGUGCUGGGCGGUAGGGCUAGUUAGAUGAUGCUGCUAGAACUGCCACCCAGGUAGCCUCCUGCUGGACCCCUCGAUUGGAUAAGGUGGGAAGGCAACUAGCAGGGAUGUCAGUGGUUGAGAGCAGUCCCAACUGAGGUUACAUCAUGAUUGUUUUGGAUGCAGGACCAACAGCCCCAUGUCUUUGUCACCGCAUAACAAGCCUCACAGGAGGGUGGCAUGUGGCCGAGUCAGUCAAAUGCCUUCACCUUAACAUUGUUGCAAAGGAGAAGUGAAGGCCAUCCACUGAGUUGGUUUGUAAGGACCAUGGGAAGUAACAGGCGUAUUAUUGGAGCUGACCUCCUGCUAAAACCUGUAGCCGUUUCAUCAAUCACCCACCCGUUGGGUCUCCUGAAGGUCAGUCAAAUGAUUCCGUUAAUCGCCUGCUCAUUCUCAGGUUCUUGCUUCAGGAGUAAUAAAUUUUUAAAACUUUUUAAAAAAUGAAAAGUUGGAUGACAGGUGUGUAUGGAAGAAAAAUAAUCAGAUGGAAGAACAGUCAUUUAGAAGCGAGUGGUCGGAGCCAGUGCUGGACAAAGGUAAAGGUUUUCUGCGGCCGAGGAAGACGGCCCUGCCUCCAGACCUGGGCCCAGAUGACAGAGAGGGUCGAGGCCCUUGGUUCACCCACACCCCUCGGUUCCGUGCUAUUGACAUCAAGUCUCCCCAAGACCAAGCAAGGCCCAGAGCCCUUCCUGGGGAGAGUCCUUACAGAAUUAACUGCACAGAUAAGGUCCCCAUUGGUGACAAAUUCUGAUGGACAGCCUCUCUUGAAAUCAACGAGCUGCCUGACCCACUUCUCACUCGUCACCUGCAAUAUCAGCCUUUCUUUUAUUAUACAACUUAUUGGGGGAAAACAAGCAAGCAGACAAAAAACCCCGUGCAGACCCAUAGAGAGAUAUAGCUGCUUGAUCGCAAACAACAUUUUUUGUUUGCAGAAAUGGAUACUGUUAUUGAUAAAAUGGGGGAAAGAGAGCCACUGAAGGGAAACCUGAAUAGGGAGAUAGUUGGCUCAUGUGGUUUAAAAUACUUCUGUUGUUUCAAGAUCAUGGGCCUCAGUGUCAGAAAGAUCUGAGCUGAGUCCUCAUUCUGCACCAAUAGCUGUGUGACCCUGGGCCAGUUACUUAACCACUCGGAAUCUUAGCUGCCUAAUUUGUAGAUAAGCAUAGUCAUAUUUUUGUCCUGAAGGUUGUUGUAAUGCGUAUAUUGCUUAUAUGAGAGCCUUCAUUCAUCCAAAACAUGUUUAUUGGUACAAUAAAUAUCCUGCAAUAGCACGGAGGUUAAAAGCCUAGAUUCUGGAAGCAGAAUAUCUGUGUUUGAAUUCCAGGUUUCCCACUUCUUUAGACAAGUUAUUGAAGUUCUCUGAGCAUCUGUUAAAAAUGGGAAUACAAGCGUAUCUACCUCAGAGGGUUGUUGCGGGGAUUUGAUGAGUUUCUGUAUUUACCACCUUUAGAAAGUUACCUGGCACCUAGUUAGCGCUCUCUUAGGUGUUAGUUAUUAUUAUGUGGUGGGGACAACGGAAAGCCAAAAGAAAGACAAAGAGAGCAAGAGAAAAAAAGGGGAGAACAACAACA
ensembl:lncRNA